rnacentral:rRNA from 1 species
AUUGAAGGUGAUGCCUGCCCGGUGCACCAGAUGUUUAACGGCCGCGGUAUCCUAACCGUGCAAAGGUAACGCAAUCGAUUGUCCCGUAAAUCGGGACUAGAAUGAAUGGCUAAACGAGGUCUUAACUGUCUCUUACAGGCAAUCAGUGAAAUUGAUCUCCCUGUGCAAAAGCAGGGAUAACCACAUAAGACGAGAAGACCCUGUGGAACUUCAAAAACAGCAACCACCCUAAAAUACAUACACACCCACCCCGGGCUCACUUAACUUACAGGUGACUGGUCUGCAUUUUUUCGGUUGGGGCGACCUUGGAGCAAAACAAAACCUCCAAAUAUUAGACCAUUCCUCUAGACUGAGAGCAACUCCUCAACGUGCUAAUAGCAACCAGAUCCAAUACAAUUGAUCAAUGGACCAAGCUACCCCAGGGAUAACAGCGCAAUCUCCUUCGAGAGUCCAUAUCGACGGGGAGGUUUACGACCUCGAUGUUGGAUCAGGACAUCCUAGUGGU